rnacentral:rRNA from 1 species
CAUCGGAUGUGCCCACGAUGGGAGUUAGCUAGUAGGUGAGGUAACGGCUCACCUAGGCGACGAUCCCUAGCUGGUCUGAGAGGAUGACCAGCCACACUGGAACUGAGACACGGUCCAGACUCCUACGGGAGGCAGCAUG